ensembl:lncRNA
CACGAGGAGGAAUAGAGCGAACCCUGUACUUACAGUACGCUGUGUCCAGCCCAGAGGUGAAAGCCAUCCAAAGCAGAGUAACUGUGCUUUGCGUCCAAGUUGAUACCUGUGGAGAGAAAAGGAGAGAGAGUGAAUAACACGAGGAGGAAUAGAGCGAACCCUGUACUUACAGUACGCUGUGUCCAGCCCAGAGGUGAAAGCCAUCCAAAGCAGAGUAACUGUGCUUUGCGUCCAAGUUGAUACCUGUGGAGAGAAAAGGAGAGAGAGUGAAUAACACGAGGAGGAAUAGAGCGAACCCUGUACUUACAGUACGCUGUGUCCAGCCCAGAGGUGAAAGCCAUCCAAAGCAGAGUAACUGUGCUUUGCGUCCAAGUUGAUACCUGUGGAGAGAAAAGGAGAGAGAGUGAAUAACACGAGGAGGAAUAGAGCGAACCCUGUACUUACAGUACGCUGUGUCCAGCCCAGAGGUGAAAGCCAUCCAAAGCAGAGUAACUGUGCUUUGCGUCCAAGUUGAUACCUGUGGAGAGAAAAGGAGAGAGAGUGAAUAACACGAGGAGGAAUAGAGCGAACCCUGUACUUACAGUACGCUGUGUCCAGCCCAGAGGUGAAAGCCAUCCAAAGCAGAGUAACUGUGCUUUGCGUCCAAGUUGAUACCUGUGGAGAGAAAAGGAGAGAGAGUGAAUAACACGAGGAGGAAUAGAGCGAACCCUGUACUUACAGUACGCUGUGUUCAGCCCAGAGGUGAGAGCCAUUCAAAGCAAACUAACUGUGCUAUUGUGCCCAAGUUGAUACCUGUGGAGAGAAAAGGAGAGAGAGUGAAUAACACGAGGAGGAAUAGAGCGAACCCUGUACUUACAGUACGCUGUGUUCAGCCCAGAGGUGAGAGCCAUUCAAAGCAAACUAACUGUGCUAUUGUGCCCAAGUUGAUACCUGUGGAGAGAAAAGGAGAGAGAGUGAAUAACACGAGGAGGAAUAGAGCGAACCCUGUACUUACAGUACGCUGUGUUCAGCCCAGAGGUGAGAGCCAUUCAAAGCAAACUAACUGUGCUAUUGUGCCCAAGUUGAUACCUGUGGAGAGAAAAGGAGAGAGAGUGAAUAACACGAGGAGGAAUAGAGCGAACCCUGUACUUACAGUACGCUGUGUCCAGCCCAGAGCCGUUGCCUGUGGAGGAAGAGAAAGAGACCGUUGCCUGUGGAGGAAGAGAAAGAGAGUGAGCACCCCGAGAACGAACUGUGUGAACCAGUACUUACUGUGAGCUGCAAUCAGCGAAGAGCCGUUGCCUGUGGAGGAAGAGAAAGAGAGUGAGCACCCCGAGAACGAACUGUGUGAACCAGUACUUACCGUGAGCUGUAUUCAGCGAAGAGGAGGAAGAAGGAGGGCGCUACGGAUACCUAAGACUCAGGCCGGGGCCCGAGUCCCACGCCCCGGAUCCCCGUGGCCCCCUUGCUCCCUGACCUCUUCCCGGCCAUAGCCCAUCUGGAGGGCCGAGUCAGAGUUUAGUUUUAAUUGCCCUUUUCCUAUUCCCCAAGCUAUUUUUAAAUAUUUAAAUAAAGAUUGUUUUAUCACUUACUUGUUCUCGUGU